AGGCCCUGAAAGAGGCCAGAGCCGGGUCAGGUGCUGCGGAGCCAGGACGCAACUUCCUCCCUGAGGUUGGGGAGUCAGACAAACUAGGAACCCACCCUAGACCCCAGUGAUCUCUGCACAGACGCAGAACUGGCUUCACCGGAGCCUGGAGGGCUGUGUGCGGACCGUCCACUCCGACACUGACCUUUGGUUUGCCAGCCCGGGGGAAACAAACAUUGGCCUCCCGCCUACAUUCUUCCGGUCCAGCUCCAGCGCCUGCAGGGCCGACUUCUCC